UCCUUGUUUACCAGAUAAUGGAUGGCCUGAUGGAGGUGACACUGAUAUCUUCAAACUUGAGGAUGUUGCAGGUCCAAAUAAUUGGCCUGACCUCUUGCUGGAGGAAGUUGACUCACCAAAGUUAGACCUGGAGCUCUGCAAUAGUGAUAUUUAUGGAACCAAACCUGAUUCAAAAAUGUAGCAAGAUGCCAUAUUUGCAAUGCCAACUUGCUCUCUUCUAUUGCUAUCUAGUAGGUAAUUAUUUGAUGUUGUUUCAUGGAGAUCUUGUUUAUUAAUUUUUCUUAUUUAUUUCAGGCAAAAAUUUCUUUAGAAGAGCCUGCACUCUAUAGCCUUUUAUAUAAAUCUGACAAACUUUGGCAAUUUCCUGCUGAUUGCAACUCUGUAUUUUGUUGGGUCCUUGUACUGCCAUAAUGCAAGCCUACUUUGCCAAGAUGUGACUGAUAGUGGAAAACUUAGAGUUAGAUUUGGACUUUAUUUCAUAUGUUAACUAAUAUUAAACAGGAAAAUACUUUUGUGUUUGUCAAAGAAGAGUUCUAAACUUGGAACAACACUGAAGGGAGGAGCUAGCGGCUAGCGUGGUUAUCUACCCGAUGCCUCAGGAAUCAAAAUUAUAUUGUAUGCAGGUUGUGCUCCUCUCUUCAUCGAGAGGUUGUUUCUCAUUGGGUUCAUGCAAGGAAAUGCUUGAAGCAAUACCACAAAAUAGGAUGUUUCGUGAAAAUGAUGCAAGAGAAGGUAUGAUUGAAUAAAGGACGGCACAGCACAUGCCUCAAACCUCAGGCAAGCCAUUUUAUUUACUUCAGAUUGAUCUGUUAAUAAUUUUGACUCCAUAAUUCUUAAUUUUUAACACAUUCUUGUGUUUUCAGAUUGCUUGUUUAGGCUUUAGAAUUGAUCCUUGAAUAUCCUGUUGAAUAUCCUACUGAAAAACUCCAAUGAAGAUUCACGUCUGUAUGGAAACAAGGAUGCAAAUUAUGUAUUUUUGUUUUUAUAAUGCAAUAUAGAGCCAACCCAUGCUUAAGCUUGGUUUGAGAUUAA